UAGGCUGUGAAUAGUGACCAAA
rnacentral:siRNA from 1 species